CGGCAGCACGGGAGCUUGCUCCUGGUGGCGAGUGGCGAACGGGUGAGUAAUGUAUCGGAACGUACCCAGUCGUGGGGGAUAACUCUCCGAAAGGAGAGCUAAUACCGCAUACGUCCUGAGGGGGAAAGCGGGGGACCUGCAAAGGCCUCGCGCGAUUGGAGCGGCCGAUAUCGGAUUAGCUAGUUGGCGGGGUAAGGGCCCACCAAGGCGACGAUCCGUAGCGGGUCUGAGAGGACGACCCGCCACACUGGAACUGAGACACGGUCCAGACUCCUACGGGAGGCAGCAGUGGGGAAUUUUGGACAAUGGGGGCAACCCUGAUCCAGCCAUUCCGCGUGAGUGAAGAAGGCCUUCGGGUUGUAAAGCUCUUUCAGCAGGAGCGAAACGGUCGUUUUUAAUACAGACGGCUAAUGACGGUACCUGCAGAAGAAGCACCGGCUAACUACGUGCCAGCAGCCGCGGUAAUACGUAGGGUGCGAGCGUUAAUCGGAAUUACUGGGCGUAAAGCGUGCGCAGGCGGCGACAUAAGACAGAUGUGAAAUCCCCGGGCUCAACCUGGGAACUGCGUUUGUGACUGUGUUGCUAGAGUGUAGCAGAGGGGGGUGGAAUUCCACGUGUAGCAGUGAAAUGCGUAGAUAUGUGGAGGAACACCGAUGGCGAAGGCAGCCCCCUGGGUUAACACUGACGCUCAUGCACGAAAGCGUGGGGAGCAAACAGGAUUAGAUACC
rnacentral:rRNA from 1 species